rnacentral:rRNA from 1 species
GUCCACGCCCUAAACGAUGUCUACUAGUUGUCGGGUCUUAAUUGACUUGGUAACGCAGCUAACGCGUGAAGUAGACCGCCUGGGGAGUACGGUCGCAAGAUUAAAACUCAAAGGAAUUGACGGGGACCCGCACAAGCGGUGGAUGAUGUGGAUUAAUUCGAUGCAACGCGAAAAACCUUACCUACCCUUGACAUGGACUGAAUUCCUGAGAGAUUGGGAAGUGCUCGAAAGAGAGCCGUUACACAGGUGCUGCAUGGCUGUCGU